GGUGCUGGAGCUCAGAGAAGACUUCUUCACCUCCUCCACACUCUCUCUCUAGGGUUUUCUCUCUCUAAGGGAAAUUCGCCAUUUCGCGCCGAUUUCGAGCCGAGCUCGUUACUCGCUAGUUGGAAGACUUGGGGAAAGUCUUUGGAACGUGGGAGGGAGGAUUUAUACUGAUUUUUCUGUGAUCUUAACCUCAGGAAAACUGGGUCGCAGCUAUAGAAAGAGUUGGUGGAGGAUUUCAGCAGCUCAAGGUGACUUAGUUAGCUGUGAAUUAUCCACUUUACACCAGGGAUAAGUUGCUUUGACACUGGAACAAGGUCUUCGAGCUUCGUUGAGUUGAAUUUGUACUCUUAGAAUCUGGUUUGGAAGCUGCUCUAACCCAAGCGAGACUAUGAUCGAGCCUUGGAUUAUGUUCGGCUGAAUUGUGAGGACUCCUAGAGGUUACAUUUGAGCAGGAUUGAAGUUUGUUUAGUAGAGCUAAAUUUCGAGACGUCGUGGAACUGAUUUGAGCUCAGUAAUAGAGCCAUCUACAGGAGAGGCUAGGGAUCGUGGCAA